rnacentral:miRNA from 1 species
CUUCCGCUGGACGAGGUACAUGUACCUUGUCCAUCAGAAGGAAAUCCUUCCGCUGGACGAGGUACACGUACCUUGUCCAUCAGAAGGAAACCCUUCCGCUGGGACGAGGUACAUGUACCCCGUCCAUUGGAAGGAAACCCUUCCGCUGGACAAGGUACAUGUACCUCGUCCAUUGGAAG